AUAAAAUUAUCAAUUCAACAUAUAAUAUAAUUUAUAAGUCUAAAUUAAUAGAAAUCAAAUAUAGAAAUAGAAAAAUAAUUCAGCAUAGAACAUAUAAAUAAUCAAAAUAAUUUUAUGCAUAUUAUCAAUCAAAAUAAAAUUAUCAAAACAGAAUUAUAAAUAUAUAUAUUCGGAUAUGGGUUCGGAUAUUACCCAUACCUGUAGGUU
rnacentral:lncRNA from 1 species